rnacentral:rRNA from 1 species
UACGUAGGGGGCAAGCGUUGUCCGGAUUUAUUGGGCGUAAAGCGCUCGCAGGUGGUUCAUUGCGUCGUGCGUGAAAGACCCCGGCUCAACUGGGGAGGGUCGUGCGAAACGGGUGAACUAGAGGCCAGUAGGGGGAUGCGGAAUUCCGGGUGUAGUGGUGGAAUGCGUAGAGAUCCGGAGGAACACCAGCGGCGAAGGCGGCAUCCUGGGAAGUUCCUGACGCUCGGGUGCGAAAGCCAGGGGAGCGAACGGG